rnacentral:lncRNA from 1 species
ACAUGAAAAACAUCUUACAAACCUACGAACUUCAGAGGUAGAGCGAGCCAGUAGGCCAUGGGUCCAAUACACUCCAAAAUCGAAAAAGGUCCCAUAAAUUGAGGGCUCAAUUUUCUUUCUUUUCGAACCAUAUUUUGCCUUUAUAGGGGAAGAUUUUGAGGAAGACACAGUCACCAACAACAAACUCUAGUGGUCUCCUAUGCUUGUCGGCAUAACUCUUCUGAUGACUUUGGGUAAUGAUAAGGUUCUUGCAAAUAAUGGUGACCUUGUUAUUUGUUUUUUGGAUCUAAUCUGGUCCUAAAUGAUGCCUGUUCCCAACCUCGUUCCAACAAGUAGGUGAAAGAUAGGGCCUUACAUUCAGGAUU